GUCAUAAUCUAAGGGUUUAAGAGCUACAAGGAGGAGAUAUCAACAAAGCCCUUCAGUCCCAAAGUUAACGUAGUUGUUGGUGCAAAUGGAUCUGGCAAAUCAAAUUUCUUUCAUGCUAUACGAUUUGUCCUGAGUGACAUGUUUCAGAACCUGCGAAGUGAGGAUAGGGGUGCCCUUCUCCAUGAAGGUGCUGGACACUCGGUUGUAUCUGCUUUUGUUGAGAUAGUGUUUGACAAUUCAGACAACCGUAUUC